CAGCUUAUAUAAGAUAAUUAAGCUUUUCUAUUACGUAUCAUAUUUUAUAUACAAUAACAUUUCAAGGGUGCGUUUUAGCUGAGCAGACAAUGGUUGAAGGUAGGUGCGGGAAGAGAGUUUUUGAGUGUAUUAAUUUCAUUUUCAGCCGCUACUGUGACAGGCGUGUACGAACUUUUAAUUUUCACAGGCUGGGAGGUGGUGGGUCUAGUUUUCUAAACCAAGCAUUUUGUUUUAUCACAAACAGUAGACUCAAGCAGGAAAACUACCUUUCUGGUUGAAUUUUUG
rnacentral:misc_RNA from 1 species